rnacentral:misc_RNA from 1 species
UAUAUACAUACGAGAUUGUCCGUUAUUUAAGGUCUCAAAGAUGGUGGGUGUUGUCUGCUAAGAUUGAUAAAAAUAACUGUCUCUUCCGUCGUCAAGUUAUUUGAAAAGCACAAAUGAGGUUCAGGUUCUGUGGGGAUCUAGACUGCCCAGACUGGGUUCUGGCAGAAAUCAGCAUUCUGUCUAAAAUGACAUCGGUGAAAAUGAAACUUCUAUGUGUCCAAGUUAUCAAGGACAUUCUGGGAGCAGGGUUAGAUUAUGACAAAGUCUACAAGCUGACAUCAGAUGCUAAAUUUGAGAUGGGUGAUGUGAAAGCAAGCAUCGCGGCUCUGACAUUUAUCUUGACGAGUGCGGCCAAAUACAGCGUGGAUGGAGACACCUUGUCGAACGAGCUCCAACAGCUCGGUCUUCCUAAAGAACAUGCCGGCUCUCUCACCAAGUCCUACAGCGACAGUCUAGACAAGUUACAGAUGCGGCUGCAGGAACAGUCUCUCCGCUUGUCCUCCCUGGAGAAUGUCAAGUGGAGGGUGGACUACAUCCUCAGUUCCAGUGAACUGAAGGAUAUCAACGAGCCAAGUGUGCAGAUAAGGCUUGAAAUGAAGAGCCCAGACACACAGUCAACAGAACCCGUGGCCUUCACUGUAUCUGCAGACAAGUUCAGAGUACUCCUUAAUGGUAGGUGAUAUUGUGGGUAAUACGAUGGGGAACCAGAGCCCUGUCCACCUAACCUGUGGCCUUCACUGUAUCUGCAGACAAGUUCAGAGUACUCCUUAAUGGUAGGUGAUAUUGUGGGUAAUACGAUGGGGAACCAGAGCCCUGUCCACCUAACCUGUGGCCUUCACUGUAUCUGCAGACAAGUUCAGAGUGUCCCUUAAUGGUAGGUGAUAUUGUGGGUAAUACGAUGGGGAACCAGUGGCCUUCACUGUAUCUGCAGACAAGUUCAGAGUGUCCCUUAAUGGUAGGUGAUAUUGUGGGUAAUACGAUGGGGAACCAGAGCCCUGUCCACCUAACCUGUGGCCUUCACUGUAUCUGCAGACAAGUUCAGAGUGUCCCUUAAUGGUAGGUGAUAUUGUGGGUAAUACGAUGGGGAACCAGUGGCCUUCACUGUAUCUGCAGACAAGUUCAGAGUACUCCUUAAUGGUAGGUGAUAUUGUGGGUAAUACGAUGGGGAACCUGUGGCCUUCACUGUAUCUGCAGACAAGUUCAGAGUGUCCCUUAAUGGUAGGUGAUAUUGUGGGUAAUACGAUGGGGAACCCGUGGCCUUCACUGUAUCUGCAGACAAGUUCAGAGUGUCCCUUAAUGGUAGGUGAUAUUGUGGGUAAUACGAUGGGGAACCCGUGGCCUUCACUGUAUCUGCAGACAAGUUCAGAGUACUCCUUAAUGAAUUGAAGCAUGCUGAUUCCAUGAUGGAUACCCUGGCAUCAUAGCAUCUUCCUCCCACUGAACUUCUUCCGACUCUAUUGGAACUCGGGCAGUUUUGACAUAAUAUAGGAACUGCUGUUACAGUCGUGUCAUUUGAAACAUGUGCUUAAAAGUCUGUAAGCCAUUGUAAUUGAUGUCAGAGCAGAAACUAAAGGUCUUUUAAGGAAAAUUGUUGACCAAAGAGCAAUCCCAUUGAGGAUUCACUUAGGGCUAGGACAAUCUAAAUUUACUUCCUGGUACACAUCCCCCUAUUACCCGACCCUACCCGGGUACCUGCUGUAGGUCUCAAGAGAUAUGUACAAAAUGUCCGAGAGGCAAUAGUUUGACCAGAGCAAAUAGGCAUAAAACUAUCUGGUCAUGCAUAUCUAAAGUUGACUGAAGCUUUAUCUUUAUACAAAAAUAUAUAAGUCAGAAGGAAUGUGUGAAUAGUCCGAAAGAAAUGUGAACAUUCAUGACCUGUCAUGUGUUCACAGAGGCUGAGAUAAUUUUUGUCUUUAAACAAUAUAUCAAGUUACUAACAAUGGGUCUGGGUAGUCCUGUAGGUACCAAGUCCUACUCUGUACCCCUCGACCCAAGUAACUGGGUUUCCCGUCCCAGCCCUAGAUUCAUUAAUAACGCCUCCCUUCAGGGGACACCAGGGUCCACUUGCACAAAGCUAUCUUAGCGCUAAGAUGAUCGUAACUCCCAUACUUUAACAUAGGCUUACGAUAGUCUUAGCGCUAAGAUGAUCGUAACUCCCAUACUUUAACAUAGGCUUACAAUAGUCUUAGCGCUAAGAUCGCUUUGUGCAUGUGGGCCCAGGUCACAUUCCCAGUACUCCAUGCUUGUUUGUUAGAGACAACUUUAAAGGAAAGGGUUGUUAUACAGUAAGUGAUCUGGCUGACUGUAUAUCAAUAUUAGUCUGCUUGAUCAAAUAUUUGUUAAUCUGGAAACGCUAUAUGAUGUUUCACUGAUCAAAUAAACGUCAUUUGAUAUAUAGGUUUACAUUCCAUGAAACUGUAUUGAGAUGUAUGUAAAUAAAUGUCUUUUGAAUAA